UGCAUCUGCACUGCAGAAAUACUCCAGUUUGACACUACUUCAACUAUGGAAUUCUGGGAAGUGUAAUUUGUUGCUGCUCCAGAGGUCCCUCAUUCAGAAGUGUGCGCAGACAUUUGUGGGACUAUACUUACAUCAAAGAGUUGACUACCAAGAGAAGAUCCUCAUUUACGUGAGGGAGGGGAGUAAAAAGUCCUCAUCAUCAUAUGGACAUAUCUGACAGAAGCCCAGUGCCACUGAAUCAUGGAAAUUGGGAAUUCAGCAUGAAGCUUAACCUGCCCUCCUUCUCUGCUAACUUUUAAUUUCCGCUUGAUGGGUUCUGCUUGGUUGCACUGGAUCUGACCUACCUCUAGAAACGUAGCAACAAGCAAAACACUGCAUUACGAGAGGCGCCUCCCCCAGCUGAUAAGAGACCAGCAUUAAUAUUGAUGAGCUGCUGUUCAUUUACACAGCUAAAUAUUAAAUCUGUGUGAGAACUGGCCUCUAGGAUAAUUGCUCUCCUGCUGCAAUGCAAACACUUUUUUGUUCCAAGGGAAUGAGAGCUCCCCGCUUCUAGUACAUGCUGCUUGCCUGGCUGGAAUAUAUAUCCUAGUGUUUAUAUAUUUAGAAUGUAUUUGGCUGCUGAAAUAUUUUAUAGUUCAGCCUUUUUUAAAAAUGAUGGUACUGACCCUAGAUAAACCAGAGGACAAAAGUCUGAAAUUUUCCACACUUGGCUGUGGGUUGGUGGCUUGCAAGGCAAGGGAAGAGAAAAAGCUAAAAGUACAGUGAUUAAUAUAUAAAGAAGAAGAAGAAGGCAAGUUGUUGUUGUUGUUUAUGCUGUGAUUCAGGCCAUUUUGCACACAGAAAUGCAGCAGCAUUGCUGGUCCAGGAACCUUGGCAGCUGGAGUCCAAAAAAGGAACUUCAUCAAGCUCUGCAAAAAGUAAUAAUCAGAGCACUACAUUUACAAUGCAAUUUUGGAAAGAUCUAUUCAUUUGCAGUUUCUUUCCCCUCCUACAGGCUAGGUUAUGCUUUUUUGAUUAAAUGAAGAUGACAUUUAAAAAAUAAAGAUAUGUUUAAGUACAUUGUGUGCAGAGUGUCAUGAAUUUAAAAGGUUAAAACAAUCCAGUUGUCAAUCUGCUUAAUAUUCCCAAUUUUGCUGGGAACUGAGUUAAACUAUUUUCAGAUGUAAGAGACAAUUCAACAAAAAUCUUGAAAUGGCUCUGUAACAACCCAGUUUGUCAAAGUUUCAUCUCCAAUUAAUGAGGAGAGUAUUUCUUUGAUUAUUCCCAGGACCUUACUUCACAGAGAAAACCCUGUUCAUUAUAUUUAAAGGUUAAGCUCCCCAAAGCCUAGAGCUACAGAAAGGGCAGUCAGGAUUUUUCAAAGGUCACAAUUUCUCUCUCCAGAACUCUCUCAAAAUGGGGCUAUAGCCAGUACCUAAGUAAAAGAGCCAUUACUCAGCACCUGAGCACACACUGUGCAUUUGAAACAGUCUCAGGUUCAAUAUCUAGCUGAAAUCCUGUAGAGCAUUGACAGUACUGAGCAAGAUGGAAUGAAGAUCUAAUCAGAAUAGAGCCUGAGAUGUAUCAAAUGU